GCCGCCAGUUCCACCUUCUCAUUCACUUUCUCCUCCUGGAUCUCCACAACGAUCUACUAUCCAAAUUCUAGAAAAUAGCAAAGAACCACCAGCUUUGCGUGCUCAACAAGAAAUAAAUCCUAGCUCUCUUCACGAACAUGGUGUUGCCUCAAGUGUUCGUGUUGCAGACGAUGAAGGGAUGUUUGGGGGAUUCUUUUUCAGUCAGUCA